rnacentral:lncRNA from 1 species
GAGAAGUGAAGUGACUUACCGAAGAUCACACAGCAAUGAGCAGAUUGAGGACUCAAAUCCAGGUCUCUGGACUCCCCAUCCAGUGCUCUAACCAGGGCAGCAGCUACCCCCAACCACCCCAAAGCUGAGUUGGAGAGGCUCCAGAAGGAGCACUGAGGAAAUUCUGUCUGUUCUCCCUGCUGCACCAGAAUGGAGUUCAUGCAUGUGGCUCCAGGGCCCCCCACGAGCCAUGGCCAGUCACCCCAGCCCCUUGCACCCUGUGCUCUAGGAUCCAGGACAUAGCCAGCAACCAGACAUGCCCGCGGUCACACCUCCAUGCCGCUUGCUGUGCCCCCUCAGAGUGGCACACCUCACAACCCUGUCAGCCGAGAAGGCAACUUCUUCUCUUGCUUCAGCUUAAGAGUUGCCUCCUCUAGGGAGCUGGUCCUCAUUUUCCUCCGGCCUCCCCCUAGGCAGAGCUGCCCACUGCCUCCUUGAAACCCCCACAAUCCCUUCGGCCUGGGACACUGCGGACACAGGCUGCAAGGGGUGGGGCUCGUCUUAGUGCACCCAGGUCCCAGCACGGGGCCUGAAGCUCAGUACCUGUCCACUGAGGAUUGAAAGGUCUCACCUAACUCAGGACUGAACCUUGACUGAGCCCCCCACAGAAUGGGUCUCGUUUCCUGAGGUGGCCCUGCCCCCUUCUGGUGGACAGAAGUGUUGCAGGGAAGGCGGAAAGCAAGUUGGGCCAAGUCCAAGUCUACUUCCUUCAUGGAGCAGAGCUGGGAACUGGGCUCCCCAGGGGAACCUACACAGAACCAUGCAGAGCCUGUCGCCAUGAGCCUCUCCAACCUCUUCAGUGCUCUCAGGUCUUCACUUAGAGGAGCACGCCACAACCUCGCAGACUGGCUGGCCUUUGCUCAGCCACCUUCUCUGCCCGGGUGCCCAUCCGGGUCAUCCCCCCCGCCCAAUCUUGCCUCUGCCUGGCCAGCUCCUAAUGAAUCUUCAAGCUUACUCUAAGCACCCCCUCCAAUGUGAGUGCUUCCCAUGUGUAGAGUUGUUGUCACUCCACUGCAGCCUGGCCUCACGGCCUCUGUUAGAGCACUUGUCACCUGUAGCAUUGGUGUGAUCAUCUCCUUCCCUAGAUCAGAAGGUCCCUGAGAGAAGACACUGGUUCUCAGCAUGGCAGGGACACACUAAGAACUGAAGUCAUGUGUUGAGUCUCUACCACUAUUGCCAAAAGCUCCUUCUGCCCUUCUCUGACGGGAAGGCAGUCUGGCCCAUCAGAGAGGAAGAGGUGGCAGGUUCUGCCUCCCUAAGGAGGAAACUGGAACUUACCAUUUCUGAUGUCUAGACCUGUGCUGCCCAAUAGGGUAGCCACUAGUGACUUGUGGCCACUAAGAACCUGAAAUAUGCCCUGUGACUGAGGAAUUUAUUUUGAUAUUUUAUUUAAUUUCAAUUCAUUUUAAUUUACAUUUAAACACUGAUAAACAAUUUGACAUGUAAAUCUACUUUUUCAACCAUAAAUUUUACGAAAAAUAAAUGCGGAUCAAGUGUUUCCAAUAAAAAUUUAGUGUUCAAAUUAAGGUGUGCCAUAGGGUAAAAUACAUAGUGGAUUCUGAAGACUUAUAUGAAAAAAGAGAAUGUAACAGCUCAAUUUUAUAUCAAUUACUUGUUGAAAUCAUAACAUUUUGGAUAUAUUGGGAUUAAAUAACAUGCAGUAAAU